UCCGGCGUCGUCUAAGGGCAGGACGGGGGACUUUGAAUCCCCUAAUCGUGGUUCGAAUCCACGCGCCGGAACCA
rnacentral:tRNA from 1 species